GGAAGGAUCAUUCACACAUUUCGAUACUUCGAUACCGACCGAUUCACGAACUGAACUCGUAACUUGUUUCCUUGACUCUGUUACUCUGCUAUGCGUCAAAAAAAUUUUGGUGCAUGGUUAGGGAGUAAUGGGGCGAGGGGAUGGGGCCACAUUUUUGUGAUGCCCGUUUUUUGGUGCGCCUGUUCUGCUGGUAAUUGUACUUUCAGCAAUGGACGUCUUGGUUCCCAAUUCGAUGAAGGACGCAGCAAAUUGCGAUAAGCAGUGCGAAUUGCAGAAAUCUGUGAACCAUCAGACCUCUGAACGCACACGGCACCGGUGGGGAUACGUUCUCGCGGUGUGUUUGGCUCAGUGUCUUUUUUGUGAUAUCCAGAAGGUAAUGAGGGCUGGCGUCGAGGGCUCCAGUGGUAGCUUUUGCUCCUCCAUUGGGAGUUGCUGCGUCGUCGUGCAAUUUUUGAGUGCUACGUUGUUUAUUUCAAUAAAAGGGUGGGGUGUUUCCCAAAUCGUUUUGUGAAAAAUGCAGUGUGGCACGCAGCUUUUUUUAAUCUAAAUGACCUGAGCUCAAGCAAGGCAACCCGCUGAAUUUAAGCAUAUAAUUAAGCGGAGGAAAAGAAACUAAAUAGGAUUCUCUUAGUAAUUGCGAAUGAACAGAGAAAAGCUCAAAAUGAAAAUCACGCGCUGAAUUGUGCGGAAAUUGUAGUCUGAAGAAGUGUUUCCAGUGGACGUCGCAGAGAAAAGUCUCUUGGAAGAGAACGCCGGAGAGGGUGAGAGUCCCGUCGCUGCUCUGCAGCAAGUCCACAUACGGAGCAUUUUCGUAGAGUCGCGUUUCUUGGGAGUGAAACGCAAAGUUGGUGGUAAACUUCAUCUAAGGCUAAAUAGUUUAUGGGAGACCGAUAGCACAAAAGUACCUUGAGGGAAAGAUGAAAAGGACUUUGGAAAGAGAGUUAAAAUUCCCCGAAAUUGCUGAAAAGGAAGCGGUUGAAAUGCGCAAGUAAACACUUGCAAGUAUAGUUGUCGAAAUCAUAAAGCGGGCCGUUUCUACUUUUGGGUGCGGCCCGUAUUUGUGCGUUUAGGCGGCGAAUCUUGCAGGAUGGGUCAGCUGCGGUUGGCGUCUUCAUGUGGAGGUUCAACGGGAAGUCUCUUGGGAUUUUCGCGGUUGUUCUGUUUCCAACUGAUGGAUGCCGACUGAGGUAAGCGCCACCUUUUUAGUGUGGCAUGGUAGCUGAUGUAAGAGUUUCCACCGGCCCGUCUUGAAACACGGAUCAAGGAGUCCAACACAUGUGCGUGUCCGUGGGUGUCCAAUCCUAUGGGCGAAAUUAAAGUGAAAGGUUCCCUUCCGGAACGACCGACCACAAUCGCCGAGCGAGGUUUGAGUACGAGCAUAUCUGUUGGGACCCGAAAGAUGGUGAACUAUUCCUGAAUAGGGUGAAGCCAGGGGAAACCCUGGUGGAGGCUCGUAGCGAUACUGACGUGCAAAUCGUUCGUCAAAUUUGGGUAUAGGGGCGAAAGACUAAUCGAACCAUCUAGUAGCUGGUUCCCUC
rnacentral:misc_RNA from 1 species